UACAGAGGUCCCGAGCGUUGUUCGGAUUCACUGGGCGUAAAGGGUGCGUAGGUGGUUGGGUAAGUCUGAUGUGAAAUCUCCGGGCUCAACCCGGAAAUGGCAUUGGAUACUAUCUGGCUAGAGGUUUGGAGGGGGGACUGGAAUUCUCGGUGUAGCAGUGAAAUGCGUAGAUAUCGAGAGGAACACCAGUGGCGAAGGCAGCCCCCUGGGUCAAGAUUGACGCUCAUGCACGAAAGCGUGGGGAGCAAACAGG
rnacentral:rRNA from 1 species